UGCACCACAGCACUUUCAUGUGAAAAACAAAGAGAGAACAGAAGAGAGAACUCGAGAGAGAAGAGCAAGGGAGACGCCGCCGCCUUGCCCUAGCCGCCGAGAACGCCGCGCGCGCGAGGGAGAGAGCGACGAGAGAGAGAGAGGGGCCGCGAGGAAGAGGAAAGAAAGGGGGACUUGGACAGCAGCCUUUAACUCUUCUUCAACACCCAAUUUCUUAUUUUCUAUCACACCAAAUCAAGGUAAGGGCUGGUCCUAGGACUUGGGUAGCAUGUCUAGGUCAUAUUGCCAUGUUUUGUCAUGAUUUUAUGUAUGAUCUUGAUUGGUUUCUUGAAGCCUUUGAACAUGUGUUGUUGCUGGACUUUUAUGAUCAUGAUGCUUGCUGGAUUUUGCCAUGAGAUACCAUGUGUUAUUGUUUCACUAUUUGCUAUUCUUGCCUUAGACCUUGAUGCUUUGUGAAGAUCCCAUGCAAUACUUGCUAAGUUUGGCAUGAAAUUUAUUUGUCCAACGUGAUGAUUGAGAUGUGUCAGGUUCUGAAAUCUUUUCUUAGGGUGAUUCCACAUGAAUAUAUGACGUUUUGUUGCUGGAAAAUGGCUUUGAAACUUUGCACUUGCAUCUUCAAAAUUUUAAUUUAGGGCAGAAGUGACCCUUCCAGUUUUCUGUACUGGACAGCGGACUUCAUGGCUCGAUAUCACCUAUUUAUUUUCUUCAGAUGAAAACGUGGUAAACUAGGAAGUUAUAGAUCUUCGAAUUAGCUUUCUAGGCCUAUAAAGAACAAAUUUUUUGGUUUAGUAAUGAGGUCUGGAGAUCGGUUUUAGUGACUGAUACACCUGCUGUUUUCCCUGUACCGGACAGCGAGCUUCAGAGCCUAAUAUCACCAAGUUCUGGGUUUCAACAGAAAAAGUGUUAAACUAGAAAGUGGUAGAUUUUCGAAAUAGCUUUCCAGGCAUGUAUAGUAUGUCAUAUUCGGUUGAGAAUUGAGUUCGGGAGAUCGUUUUUAGUGAUCGCUGUUCCUGCUGUUUUUUUUUAGAAAAUGAAUAUGACACUUGUUUUCAGAAAACUUGAAUCUAUUGGUUUUUUGGAUUGGAUGUUUUUCUGAAUUUGGAAUAUCUAAUUUACUUGUAUGGUAUUGAUGCAUUUUGUUACUGGCUGGAUUAUUCUGUAAAAAAGGCCGCUCAUCUAGCUGUAAUUCCCGAUGUGUCUGUGAUCGCUUUAUUUUUAUAUUUAUGCGAUGAAUGUGGUUGUAUAAAGAGAAAAAUAAGACUCUAGGUUUGACAUUAGAGCCAAUAAAACCAAGUAAAAGAGACUUAUUGUGAUGUAACUCGCUUGCAAGUGAACUUAAUUAAUGGAACAUAGGUCGGUGUAGACUAUGGUCCAUGAGAGCGAUGGGCUUGCACGCGAGGGAGAAUUUUGUGGAUCAUUGCGGCUCCACGUAUUUUGGUUGACUGCGGUCACCGUGAGACUUUUGUGGAUCAUUGCGGCUCCACGUGAUUUGGUUGACUGCAGCCACCAUGAGAUUUUGUGAAGUAUUGCAGCUUCACGUGAUUUGUACAUAUGCGGAUGUAUGUGAUUGGCCAAGGAAGGUUUGAUGGGUUGUGUGAUGUGAGAUUUCGUUAGUAACUGAGUAACUGACUUUAUUCCCAUAAAAGACAUAUAACAUACUUAUAUUGUGUACUUUCGAUUUUGUUGUUAUCAUUUCUGUUGGACCUGACCCUUGCACUACUUGUUUAUUUGUUAUUUGGGGGGGGGGGUAGCUGGUCGUGAAGAUAACGGCGACGACCCAUUCUUGGGAGCUGAUACUCCAUGACGAGCCACUACCGGAUGACGACUACACUCCUGAUGAAGAGGAAGAAGAUAAAGAGGAAGAGGCCAAGGAAUAGGUUUGGGUUGAGAGUACCGAGUUCGGGAAGCAUUGACCAAUUAUUUUGCUUUCAUUUGGAUCAAUAAAGUUGAUGUAAUUUACUUUGGUUUUAGAUGUAUAUUUCAUACUUAUUUUAUUUAAUUCAAAAGUUUUGGGAUGAUGUUUACUUCCGCGAGAUUUGUAAAGGUUAAUCUUUCAAGAGUUUCGCAA
rnacentral:lncRNA from 1 species